rnacentral:rRNA from 1 species
GAACGCGAAAGUUUCCUUCGGGGAGCGAGUAGAGUGGCGCACGGGUGAGUAACACGUAGGUAAUCUACCUUUGGAUUGGGAAUAACACCGAGAAAUCGGUGCUAAUACCGAAUAAUGCAGCGGCACCUAAUGGUGACAGUUGUUAAAGCGGGGGAUCGCAAGACCUCGCGUCUAAAGAGGAGCCUGCGGCGGAUUAGCUAGUUGGUAAGGUAACGGCUUACCAAGGCGAUGAUCCGUAGCCGGCCUGAGAGGGCGGUCGGCCACACUGACACUGACAUACGGGUCAGACUCCUACGGGAGGCAGCAGUCGGGAAUUUUGGGCAAUGGGCGAAAGCCUGACCCAGCAACGCCGCGUGAAGGAUGAAAUCCCUCGGGAUGUAAACUUCGCAAGAACGGGAAGAAUAAGUCGGUGCUAACACCAUCGACGAUGACGGUACCGUUUGUAAGCUCCGGCUAACUCCGUGCCAGCAGCCGCGGUAAUACGGGGGGAGCAAGCGUUGUUCGGAUUUACUGGGCGUAGAGGGCGCGUAGGCGGCCACCGCAAGUCGACUGUGAAAUCUCCGGGCUUAACUCGGAAAGGUCAGCCGAUACUGCGGGGCUAGAGUGCAGAAGGGGCAACUGGAAUUCUCGGUGUAGCGGUGAAAUGCGUAGAUUUCGAGAGGAACACCUGCGGCGAAGGCGGGUUGCUGGGCUGACACUGACGCUGAUUGUGCGAAAGCUAGGGGAGCGAACGGGAUUAGAUACCCCGGUAGUCCUAGCCUUAAACGAUGAAUGCUUGGUGUCUGGGGUUUUAUAGUCCCGGGUGCCGUCGCUGACGC